rnacentral:rRNA from 1 species
AUCCUGGCUCAGAUUGAACGCUGGCGGCAUGCCUUACACAUGCAAGUCGAGCGGCAGCACGGGUGCUUGCACCUGGUGGCGAGUGGCGAACGGGUGAGUAAUACAUCGGAACGUACCUUAUCGUGGGGGAUAACGUAGUGAAAAUUACGCUAAUACCGCAUACGAUCUAAGGAUGAAAGCGGGGGAUCGAAAGACCUCGCGCGAUUGGAGCGGCCGAUGUCAGAUUAGCUAGUUGGUGGGGUAAAGGCCCACCAAGGCGACGAUCUGUAGCUGGUCUGAGAGGACGACCAGCCACACUGGGACUGAGACACGGCCCAGACUCCUACGGGAGGCAGCAGUGGGGAAUUUUGGACAAUGGGCGCAAGCCUGAUCCAGCAAUGCCGCGUGCAGGAAGAAGGCCUUCGGGUUGUAAACUGCUUUUGUACGGAACGAAAAGGUCUGGGUUAAUACCCUGGGCUCAUGACGGUACCGUAAGAAUAAGCACCGGCUAACUACGUG